GGUCCCGUAGUAGAAUGGAUACUACGAAAGUCUCCGGAACUUUAGAUCCGCGUUCGAUUCGCGGCGGGACCACCA
rnacentral:tRNA from 1 species